rnacentral:rRNA from 1 species
UACGUAGGGUGCAAGCGUUAAUCGGAAUUACUGGGCGUAAAGCGUGCGCAGGCGGUUUUGUAAGCCAGACGUGAAAUCCCCGGGCUUAACCUGGGAACUGCGUUUGGGACUGCAAGGCUAGAGUGCGGCAGAGGAAGGUGGAAUUCCUGGUGUAGCAGUGAAAUGCGUAGAUAUCAGGAGGAACACCGAUGGCGAAGGCAGCCUUCUGGGCUAGCACUGACGCUCAUGCACGAAAGCGUGGGGAGCAAACAGG